UACGAAGGGGGCUAGCGUUGUUCGGAUUUACUGGGCGUAAAGCGCACGUAGGCGGAUUCUUAAGUCUGGUGUGAAAGCCCGGGGCUCAACCCUGGAAGUGCAUCGGAUACUGCCGAGCUCGAGUUCUGGAGGGGGAAGCGGAAUUCCGAGUGUAGAGGUGAAAUUCGUAGAUAUUCGGAGGAACACCGAUGGCGAAGGCGGCUUCCUGGACAGAUACUGACGCUGAGGUGCGAAAGCGUGGGGAGCAAACAGG
rnacentral:rRNA from 1 species